UAAAUUAGGAAAUACACACAUGGAGAAAACAAACAAAAAUAAAAUAAAAAAACAAAAAGACAUGAACCAGGAAGGAUGGAGAAAUCCAACACUCAGCCCUGACCCCAGGCUCCUCCUGGGAAGGCAGGACCCGGAGAGGGGGGACCUCGGGUGACGGUCGAGACUGGAACUGAUGACACAUGGCCCGAUGCUGCCUGGGAGCAACCUCCACGGAUGUAGCCUAGGACCAGGAGUGGAAGAUGGGGCCGCCACUGGCUGGCAUUGGGUAGUGGUGGUGGCAGGACCCUCCGUGCCCUGAGGGAUGUGGACGCUGUCCCCCAUGCUUGUUAGGGGGAGGAGAACAGAAGCUUGGCCCGGCAGGUGAGGUGGGCACCCACUGUUCUGGGAGCACAGGUCACACAUGGGCGCGAGGCAUCAUGGCCCUCGCCUCUCCACCCACUUGGGGUCUUCACGGAGAGGUGGACGAGGGACCUGGAUGCUCCAGGGGACACUGGGAAAGCCCAACACAGAAAGUUGACUGCUGGCAUCUCAGAGGCUGGGGCUGUGCGUGUCUGUCUGGUUGAUUCCAAGAUGCAUGAAAUCCAAGGUGCAGGAGACCUGCCUUCUGUGACCAAGCCACUCCCUAACAUGAGCUCCUUGGACCACCUCCAACAGCUGCAUCUCCAAUGCCGAGAGGGUCCCCUCCUGCAGGUGGUGUAUAACGCAGGACUCGGUGGCUGGGAUGGGGCCAUGCCAUCCAGCUCCUGUGACCUGGUGUUGUCGGGGGAGCAUUUGGCAGCCUGAAGGUGGGGGGCAGUGGGCAUGGCAAAGGGGACCAGAAUCUUCAGUGCUAAGGGCAUCCCAUCUUUUUGCCAUUGGCAAAAUAAAUCGAAGAAAUAAAAUCCAUCGUUGGUUUUGUGCUGGGUUUUUUCUCUUUGUUCAUUUGAGUGGUUUUUUUUCUAUCAUUUUUUGUUUGUUUUUAAAAAAGAAAAUACAGUGAAGACACUAGAAGGGGGAAGAAAGAAGACAGGUUAGGUGCCCAGCUGCCUGUGUCUACACAUCUGCUGAGCCCUCUCCAGCUCCUACUUUCCUGUCCCUGAAACCAUCAUUCUCAGGGCUGCACCUGGCUGAGGGUCCAGUAGGUGCUCCACUUUCCUGCAAAUCUACCUCCAUCCUGUGGAAUGG
rnacentral:lncRNA from 1 species